rnacentral:rRNA from 1 species
AGCGGCAGCACGGGUACUUGUACCUGGUGGCGAGCGGCGGACGGGUGAGUAAUGCCUAGGAAUCUGCCUGGUAGUGGGGGAUAACGCUCGGAAACGGACGCUAAUACCGCAUACGUCCUACGGGAGAAAGCAGGGGACCUUCGGGCCUUGCGCUAUCAGAUGAGCCUAGGUCGGAUUAGCUAGUUGGUGAGGUAAUGGCUCACCAAGGCGACGAUCCGUAACUGGUCUGAGAGGAUGAUCAGUCACACUGGAACUGAGACACGGUCCAGACUCCUACGGGAGGCAGCAGUGGGGAAUAUUGGACAAUGGGCGAAAGCCUGAUCCAGCCAUGCCGCGUGUGUGAAGAAGGUCUUCGGAUUGUAAAGCACUUUAAGUUGGGAGGAAGGGCAUUUACCUAAUACGUAAGUGUUUUGACGUUACCGACAGAAUAAGCACCGGCUAACUCUGUGCC